rnacentral:rRNA from 1 species
AGAGCACUCCUACGGGAGGCAGCAGUGGGGAAUAUUGCACAAUGGGCGCAAGCCUGAUGCAGCCAUGCCGCGUGUAUGAAGUAAGGCCUUCGGGUUGUAAAGUACUUUCAGCAGUGAGGAAGGUGGGUAUGUUAAUAGCAUACUCAUUUGACGUUAGCUGCAGAAGAAGCACCGGCUAACUCCGUGCCAGCAGCCGCGGUAAUACGGAGGGUGCGAGCGUUAAUCGGAAUUACUGGGCGUAAAGCGCAUGCAGGUGGUUUGUUAAGUCAGAUGUGAAAGCCCGGGGCUCAACCUCGGAAUUGCAUUUGAAACUGGCAAACUAGAGUACUGUAGAGGGGGUAGAAUUUCAGGUGUAGCGGUGAAAUGCGUAGAGAUCUGAAGGAAUACCGGUGGCGAAGGCGGCCCCCUGGACAGAUACUGACACUCAGAUGCGAAAGCGUGGGGAGCAAACAGGAUUAGAUACCCUGGUAG